rnacentral:lncRNA from 1 species
UGAUCUCAAAUAACCGUAUAUGAGGUAAGUUAUCAUUAUUAAAUAGUCACAUAUAUAAAACCCAACGAAGAAAAUAUUUCACUACAUACGUGUAUUGUAUAUAUAGAAAAUACCAUGGGAACUGCGGACUAAUUUAAGCUAAGGUCGAAGUUACUUCUGUCACAUUUGCUUGAUGAAUUUUCAAGCCCCCUUCCAUUUUCCACUCCAGAUUUCAUACAGACCAAAGUGAAGCAUGUUAUCGACACUAGCGGGCAGAACUUCAAUUCUCAAUGGCGGGCUGGUUUUGUCAGGAAUUGUGAAUCUGCCUACAUUUGGAUCCUGCACUACUUUAACUUUGGUCCAUUUGUACUUGCCCCUUUUCCCUACCUUGGCCAUCAAGAAAGCUUGUAUAUCUCUCCAACCAAAUGAACUAGGUGCCAUUUCUACGUCUAAGCUGAUUUGGUACGUCUUCGUAGGUAUUACUAACUGAGCCUGUUACUUCUAGCCAAGAAACCUGUUUCAACUCCGUAGGGUCAUUAGAGUCACCUUUGGAUAGCCUGCAAAAUGUAUAGUAUGCAGCCAAUUAUUCACAUAGUGAAGCCGAAACAAAAGGGCUUGGUGAUAUUAGAAGUGGAAACUCCUAUAUAUAAAUUGCAUAUUAUUUUUUGUCAUAUGCUCGAUGUGGGAUCCUAUUCUCCAACAAUAUUUAAACCUUAAUGAGUGCAUAAUAACAAAAGGAGACUGUCUAAAGUACAUUUACCAAACAAAAAUCUCAAAAGGCGGGACAAGCACACAUAAGUGGAGUAGACGCGUAGCUCCCAUACUUAUGAGAAAUGAUAUUAGCAUUUUCCUAUUACCAGAUGUAUAUAACCACAACAACAACAACAACAAAGCCUUUUCCCACUAAGUGGGGUCGGCUAUAUGAAUCCUAGAACGCCAUUGCGCUCGGUUUUGUGUCAUGUCCUCCGUUAGAUCCAAGUACUCAAGUCUUUUCUUAGGGUCUCUUCCAAAGUUUUCCUAGGUCUUCCUCUACCCCUUCGGCCCUGAACCUCUGUCCCGUAGUCACAUUUUCGAACCGGAGCGUCAGUAGGCCUUCUUUGCACAUGUCCAAACCACCGGAACCGAUUUUCUCUCAUAUUUCCUUCAAUUUUGGCUACUCCUACUUUACCUCGGAUAACCUCAUUCCCAAUCUUAUCCUUUCUCGUGUGCCCAUACAUCCCACGAAGCAUCCUCAUCUCCGCUACACCCAUUUUGUGUACGUUGAUGCUUCACUGCCCAACAUUCUGUGCCAUACAACAUCGCUGGCCUUAUUGCCGUCCUAUAAAAUUUUCCCUUGAGCUUCAGUGGCCUACGACGGUCACACAACACGCCGGAUGCACUCUUACACUUCAUCCAUCCAGCUUGUAUUCUAUGGUUGAGAUCUCCAUCUAAUUCUUCGUUCUCUUGCAAGAUAGAUCCUAGGUAGCGAAAAUGGUCACUUUUUGUGAUCUUCGCUAGAUUGCUCUGGUCAUUAGUGUGGAUAAGUAUAUAAAUGGAUAGAGAUAGGAAAGCAAACACAAGAUGUACGUGGUUCACCUAGAUUUGCUACGUCCACGGAAUAGAGGAGUUCUCAUUAAUUGUGAAGGGUUUACACAAAAGCAAACACAAGAUGUACGUGGUUCACCUAGAUUGGCUACGUCCACGGAAUAGAGGAGUUCUCAUUAAUUGUUUAGGGUUUACACAAGUACAUAGGUUCAAGCUCUCCUUUAGUGAGUACAAGUGAAUGAUUUAGUACAAAUGACAUUAGGAAAUAUUGUGGGAGAAUGAUCUCGUAGCCACGAAACUUCUAAGUACCGGAGUGUAGUAUCGUCUUGACUUGCCUUAUCUGUCUCAUAGGUAGAUGUGGCAUCUUCUCUGGAAGUACUCUUCCUCCAUCCAGGGGUGGUAUCUGUAACUGGUGGAGAUGCACAAGGUAAUGUAUCAAUUUCACUUGAAACUUACUUGUAGUUUCAUGCUUGGUCAAGCGCGAUACAAACCAUGUAGUAGGAGUCCCCCAAGUCGCCGAGCUAGGGGAUCUGCUGAAAGAGGUGACAGACAAGGUAAGCAAUCAGAGCUCCAGCUGAUUGUUCACAUUCUCCCUAUCUUGCAGGCAGCAUGAAGGAUAAAGAGAAGAAAAAUGAGGAGAGAUGAUAUGGGAUACUUUUGCUUUUGAAGAAGUAAGUCCAUCAAAUCUAGAGUACGUUCGACCCUGCUGAUAUGGGAUACUUUUGCUUUUGACAGAGUAGUGGAUGUAUCGGCACGUGUGCUGUUACGCUUGUCUCCACAUGCUUCCUUGUAUCCUUCUCACUUGCCCUAUUUGUUCCUCAGGCAGAUGCGGUAUCUUCCCUGGAAGCAUAAGAUGUUGAAGAUGAGUACUCGAGAGCAAUGCCAGGUAAGUAAUCAGGUAAGGGGUUCCAGGCAGUCAGUUCUUGGCUGGAAGCUUGAUUCCAAGUGCUGACUGAUUGCUCUCUUUCUCCUUGUCUUGCAGGUAAGAACAAGGCCAAAGGAAAAGACAGGGAAAAAGCAUGAUAUGGGAUACUCUUGCUUUUAACCCUGAUGAUAUGAGAUAUUAUUGCUCUAGUAUAGCUUGUUUACAAAGGUAUUAUCGGGGGGAAAGAAAGCUGAAUAUUUCGAAAGGCUUCGUUGGGAGUGCCCUCUCAGAUAAGAGAAAGGGUUGAGCAUUUUUGCAGGUCUGCCUGUCCGUUAGGGAUGGAGGUCGACAUAUAUAGGAGUCUCCCUAACAUCAAGUAAUAAUGCUAUUCCUUUACCCUGCUUGGUUAUAGCACGGUAGUGGGAGCUGCCAGCUUCACAUGUUUUAACUCUGUCAGAGCACUUUGAAAAAGUGGUCUGUGGUAUCUGGAAAGCUGAUGUUGCGUGUGAAGAUUACAGACAAGCUUUAUCCAAGGAGAUCCAGCUCUUGAAGUUGGGAAAGUGGUGCCUCUUCGAUUUUCGAACAAGCAAUCCUGUCGGGGAUCUGGCUCUCGAGAUUCGGAGAAUGAUGCCUCUUCGAUUUUUGAGAAAGCAAUCCUGCUGGGGGUCUAGCUCUCGAGAUUCGGAGAGCGGUGUCUCUUCGAUUUUUGAGAAAGUAAUCAUGUUGGGAGUCUGGCUCUCGAGAUUCGGAGGGCGGUGCCUCUUCGAUUUUGGAGCAAGCAAUCUUGUUAGGAGUGUUUUCUCGAAUGUGAGUAAAGGUUGGAUGUGUUUGCUAGUCUACCUUGCCACGAAGCACAGAGGUUGACACACAGGGACUUUCCAAUUAUCCAGCAGUGGUACUGUUCCUUUACCCUCUCUUCGAUUUUUGAGAAAGUAAUAAUCAUGUUGGGAGUCUGGCUCUCGAGAUUCGGAGGGCGGUGCCUCUUCGAUUUUGGAGCAAGCAAUCUUGUUGGGAGUGUUUUCUCGAAUGUGAGUAAAGGUUGGGCAUGUUUGCUAGUCUACCUUGCCACGAAGCACAAAGGUUGACACACAAGGACUUUCCAAUUAUCCAGCAGUGGUACUGUUCCUUUACCCUCUCUUCGAUUUUUGAGAAAGUAAUCAUGUUGGGAGUCUGGCUCUCGAGAUUCGGAGGGCGGUGCCUCUUCGAUUUUGGAGCAAGCAAUCUUGUUGGGAGUGUUUUCUCGAAUGUGAGUACAGGUUGGGCAUGUUUGCUAGUCUACCUUGCCACGAAGCACAGAGGUUGACACACCGGGACUUUCCAAUUAUCCAGCAGUGGUACUGUUCCUUUACCCUUGUGGGUAAUAAUAUGGUAGCUAGACCUUCAAAAUUUAUGUGUUCUAAACUUUGUUAGUGUUGUUUCUUUGCAAUUUUUUUACCCUUCUUGGUCAGAGCGAUGUAGUGGGAGCUGCAAGCUUCACGUGUCUCAACUUUGUCAGAGAACUUUGGCAAAGUUAUCUGUGGUACCCAUGAGCUACUGUUGCGUGUGGGAAGUGGGUGAUUGAACAGUACGAUUCAUGUGCUUUCUACUUCGUCAGAAAUCUUCGACAGAAUGCCCAUAAUUUCCGCAAAGCUGAGUGUGCGUGUGACAGGUGCUGACAAGGCUGGAAAAAGUAGGUGCCUCUUCGAUUUCUGAGAUCGGCCCUCGUGGUCUCUGAGCAUCCCAGCUUUUGAGAAAGCAAGCCUCUUCGAUUUCUGAGAUCGGCCUUCGUGGUCUUUGAGCAGCCCAGCUUUUGAGAAAGCAAACGCCUCUUCGAUUUCUGAGAUCGACCCUCGUGGUCUCUGAGCAGCCCAGCUUUUGAGAAAGCAAACGCCUCUUCGAUUUUCUGAGCAGGCGCCUCUUCGAUUUCUGAAGCUCUUCGUUGAGUGCAGAUUUUUAUAGGGGCUGACAUUAAGUUCCAAAGCACACUUGAAUAUCCACCAGUAGAAGCUCCAUUCUUGCACUUCUAAGAUCUUGAUUUGUCCGACCUCUUCUCUCUUCAACACCUUUGAAAAUGUCUGGCCCCUCCGACCGUCGUUUUGACUUGAACCUUGUUGAAGAGGCAGCCCCGCCUUCUCCAGACAACAUAUGGCGCCCAUCCUUCGUCUCCCCUACUGGUCCUCUUACCGUUGGGGAUUCCGUGAUGAAGAAUGAUAUGACCGCUGCGGUAGUGGCCAGGAACCUUCUCACUCCCAAAGAUAACAGACUACUUUCCAAACGGUCUGAUGAGUUGGCUGUUAAGGAUUCUCUGGCUCUCAGUGUUCAGUGUGCAGGUUCUGUGUCUAAUAUGGCCCAACGCCUAUUUGCUCGAACCCGCCAAGUUGAAUCAUUGGCGGCUGAAGUGAUGAGUCUCAAACAGGAGAUUAGAGGGCUCAAGCAUGAGAAUAAACAGUUGCACCGGCUCGCACAUGACUAUGCUACAAACAUGAAGAGGAAGCUUGACCAGAUGAAGGAAUCUGAUGGUCAGGUUUUACUUGAUCAUCAGAGAUUUGUGGGUUUGUUCCAAAGGCAUUUAUUGCCUUCGUCUUCUGGGGCUGUACCGCGUAAUGAAGCUCCAAAUGAUCAACCUCUGAUGCCUCCUCCUUCUAGGGUUUUGUCCAGUACUGAGGCUCCGAAUGAUCCCCUCCGGUGCCUUCUCUUUCUGGGGCUCUACCGACUGCUGAGACUUCUCCUAAGCAACCUUUGUGAAGGCUCCCUCUUGUUUGUUUAUUUUGACUCAAGUAUAUGUACAUAUUUGUAACUUAUCGGGGAUAUCAAUAAAUAAGCUUUCCUUCAUUUCAACGUAUUGUGUUAAAUACACCAAAGCCUUCUUCGCUAAGUUCUUUGAAUUUUCUUUUGUUGAAGCUUGUAUGUUGAAGCUUUGUGAGUGGAGCAUGUAGGUUGAGGUAGUGUUCCCUUAAUUUCCCGAGUGAGGAAAACUUCUCGGUUGGAGACUUGGAAAAUCCAAGUCACUGAGUGGGAUCGGCUAUAUGAAUCUUAGAACGCCAUUGUGUUCUGUCCUGUGUCAUGUCCUCCGUUAGAUCCAAGUACUCUAAGUCUUUUCUUAGGGUCUCUUCCAAAGUUUUCCUAGGUCUUCCUCUACCCCUUCGGCCCUGAACCUCUGUCCCAUAGUCGCAUCUUCUAAUCGGAGCGUCAGUAGGCCUUCUUUGCACAUGUCCAAACCACCGUAACCGAUUUUCUCUCAUCUUUCCUUCAAUUUCGGCUACUCCUACUUUACCCCGGAUAUCCUCAUUCCUAAUCUUAUCCUUUCUCGUGUGCCCACACAUCCAACGAAGCAUCCUCAUCUCCGCUACACCCAUUUUGUGUACGUGUUGAUGCUUCACCGCCCAACAUUCUGUGCCAUACAGCAUCGCCGGCCUUAUUGCCGUCCUAUAAAAUUUUCCCUUGAGCUUCAGUGGCAUACGGCGGUCACACAACACGCCGGAUGCACUCUUCCACUUCAUCCAUCCAGCUUGUAUUCUAUGGUUGAGAUCUCCAUCUAAUUCUCCGUUCUUUUGCAAGAUAGAUCCUAGGUAACGAAAACGGUCGCUCUUUGGUAUUUCUUGAUCUCCGAUCCUCACCCCUAACUCGUUUUGGCCUCCAUUUGCACUGAACUUGCACUCCAUAUAUUCUGUCUUUGAUCGGCUUAGGCGAAGACCUUUAGAUUCCAACACUUCUCUCCAAAGGUUAAGCUUUGCAUUUACCCCUUCCUGAGUUUCAUCUAUCAACACUAUAUCGUCUGCGAAAAGCAUACACCAAGGAAUAUCAUCUUGAAUAUGUCCUGUUAACUCAUCCAUUACCAACGCAAAAAGGUAAGGACUUAAGGAUGAGCCUUGAUGUAAUCCUACAGUUAUGGGAAAGCUUUCGGUUUGUCCUUCAUGAGUUCUUACGGCAGUCUUUGCUCCUUCAUACAUAUCCUUUAUAGCUUGGAUAUAUGCUACUCGUACUCCUUUCUUCUCUAAAAUCCUCCAAAGAAUGUCUCUUGGGACCCUAUCAUACGCUUUUUCCAAAUCUAUAAAGACCAUGUGUAAAUCCUUUUUCCCAUCUCUAUAUCUUUCCAUCAAUCUUCGUAAGAGAUAGAUUGCCUCCAUGGUUGAGCGCCCUGGCAUGAACCCGAAUUGGUUGUCCGAAACCCGUGUCUCUUGCCUCAAUCUAUGCUCAAUGACUCUCUCCCAGAGCUUCAUUGUAUGACUCAUUAGCUUAAUACCCCUAUAGUUCAUGCAAUUUUGUACAUCGCCCUUAUUCUUGUAGAUAGGCACCAAAGUGCUCAUUCGCCACUCAUUUGGCAUCUUCUUCGUUUUCAAAAUCCUAUUGAAAAGGUCAGUGAGCCAUGUUAUACCUGUCUCUCCCAAAACUUUCCACACUUCGAUUGGUAUAUCGUCUGGGCCUACUGCUUUUCUAUGCUUCAUCUUCUUCAAAGCUACAACCACUUCUUCCUUCCGGAUUCUACGAUAAAAAGAGUAGUUUCUACACUCUUCUGAGUUACUCAACUCCCCUAAAGAAGCACUCCUUUCAUGUCCUUCAUUGAAAAGAUUAUGAAAAUAACCUUCUCCAUCUGUCUUUAACCGCGUUCUCUGUAGCAAGAACCUUUCCAUCCUCAUCCUUGAUGCACCUCACUUGGUUUAGGUCCCUUGUCUUCUUUUCCCUUGCUCUAGCUAGUUUAUAGAUAUCCAACUCUCCUUCUUUGGUAUCUAGUCGCUUAUACAUAUCGUCAUAAGCCGCUAACUUAGCUUCUCUCACAGCUUUCUUCGCCUCUUGCUUCGCUUUUCUAUACCUUUCACCAUUUUCAUCGGUCCUAUCCUUGUAUAAGGCUUUACAACAUUCCUUCUUAGCCUUCACCUUUGUUUGUACCUCCUCAUUCCACCACCAAGAUUCCUUUUGGUGUGGGGCAAAGCCCUUGGACUCUCCUAAUACCUCUUUUGCUACUUUUCGGAUACAACUAGCCAUGGAAUCCCACAUUUGGCUAGCUUCCCCCUCUCUAUCCCACACACACUGGGUGAUUACUUUCUCUUUGAAAAUGGCUUGUUUUUCUUCUUUUAGAUUCCACCAUCUAGUCCUUGGGCACUUCCAAGUCGUGUUCUUUUUUUCUCACUCUUUUGAUAUGUACAUCCAUCACCAACAAGCGAUGUUGAUUAGCCACGCUCUUUCCUGGUAUAACUUUGCAAUCCUUACAAGUUAUACGAUCCCCUUUCCUCAUUAGAAGAAAAAUCUAUUUGUGUUUUUGACGACCCACUCUUGUAGGUGAUCACAUGUUCUUCUCUCUUCUUAAAGAAGGUGUUGGCUAAGAAGAGAUCAUAUGCCAUUGCAAAAUCCAAGAUAGCUUCCCCAUCCUCGUUUCUCUCCCCAAAACCAUGGCCACCAUGAAAACCUCCAUAGUUGCCUGUCUCCCUGCCCACGUGUCCAUUUAAAUCUCCUCCUAUAAAUAACUUCUCCGUCUGAGCAAUUCCUUGCACCAAGUCUCCAAGGUCUUCCCAAAAUUUCUCCUUCGAACUCGUAUCCAACCCUACUUGAGGUGCGUACGCACUAAUCACAUUGAUAAGUUCUUGUCCUAUUACAAUCUUGAUUGCCAUGAUUCUAUCUCCUACCCUCUUGACAUCUACAACAUCUUGUGUCAAGGUCUUGUCCACGAUGAUGCCAACACCGUUUCUCGUUCUAUUUGUGCCCGAAUACCAAUAGUUUAAACCCUGAGUUUUCUAGAUCCUUUGCCUUACGACCAACCCACUUAGUUUCUUGUAGGCACAUAAUAUUUAUCCUUCUCCUCACCCUAACUUCUACUACUUCCAUAGAUUUUCCCGUCAAGGUUCCUAUAUUCCACGUUCCUAAACGCAUUUUGCUCUCUUGAACUCUACCCUUCUGUCCUAGCUUCUUCACCCUUCCCCGUCUAAUAGGAUUAAAGUACUUCUUUUGUGUGUCCCGUGUAAAGUUGAUAGGAGCAUAUGCUCCCAAACAACUUUGAGUGGAGUCGUUCGAAAAGAAGUUUCUAUAGCCCCCUUGCUCAUUUAACACUGCAUUCGGGUGCCGAUGGAGAUACAGCGACCCUUGCUCACUUAUCACUGUGCUCAGGCCACACAGCGCGCCACUUACGGGUGACGCCCUAGCUUUAGCGCGAUUUCGUUCUGGAUUCAUUUUCAUAAGGAUUCGACGUGAUCAUGGAGUGCCGGCUGUCGACUACCUGACGCCCUCCCCCUCCUCCUUUAUCCGGGCUUGGGACCGGCAAUGUAAGAUAAACUUACACGGCGGAGUUUACCAGAUGUAUAUAACCAAUUAUAUUUAAGAUUUUGUCGUAGUUCCAGAUAAUUGACUCCUUACUUCUUAGGUAAUUUCCAGUAGUGUUCAACAUUGCCCCAUACAAUGCUAAGUCCCCGUGGUUUGAGGAUGUAACUAUCUCCCUGUAAAACACAAAUAUACAAUUAAUCUCUUUUUAACAGAAAGGGAUUAGAUAUAUGCGAAAGAUUGUUUUCCGAUAUUAACAAGACAUUUAGCAAUGAAUUAAAAAAUUUGUGAGGCCUUUCCUGUUUUUUUAUUUUAUCUUCCUCUGCUUGGAAAUGAGGUUUAGUACUCAGAGACAUUUCGAAACCUAACUCGGUUUUCUUCUUCUUCUUCUUCUUCUUCUUCUUCUUCUUCUUCUUCUUCUUCUUCUUCUUCUUCUUCUUCUUCUUCUUCUUCUUCUUCUUCUUCUUCUUCUUCUUCUUCUUCUUCUUCUUCUUCUUCUUCUUCUUCUUCUUCUUCUUCUUCUUCUUCUUCUUCUUCUUCUUCUUCUUCUUCUUCUUCUUCUUCUUCUUCUUCUUCUUCUUCUUCUUCUCUAGCCUUUUUAUAAACCCAUGAUCCAGUGGGCCGAAAAGAAUCUAAUGCCUCCAGAAAACAAAACGAAAAUGUAACCAAAACAAAUUAAUAAUGAAAUUGAAUUAGGCAUAGAGAAUCAAGUGAUUGGUUUUGACUUGUUACAAGGUCCCUUGCCUUUUAUUUUGAAAGGUUCCUUAGCUUUUUAAAAGAAGAAUAUAUAUAUAUAUAUAUAUGGAUUGCUAGUAAACGGUAUUGAAUAAAUGUUCCAACGUGCGAUAUAUUUUCUUUGAUUACCAUGUAAAAUAUGAAUUAGUAUUAGAAUUAAGCCAAACUUUAUAAGUCAACCUAUUUUCCCAAUUUUCAACGGUGGCAACCACUUGUUAGUCAGUACUACGGUCUAGUAAUAUUCCUCUUUAUUUAGAAGUAAGAGGUCUUAGGUUUGAAUCUCAUGAAUGGCGAAUUCGAUACCAAAUUAAGUUGCACAUUAUGUGGUUUACCUGAACUCUCCAUCCCUUUAAUGUGAAAAUACAUCGAUGUACUCAAAAAAUAAAAUUGUGGCCGCCACUUCAUAUACUGUUUCUUAAUUUUCAUUGCCCUUUUCGGGAGGCAAAUUGAUGCGGGAGCAAGCAUACACCUUAGAAAUUGCUCACAUGCAUUGGAAUUGGAAUAGGAAUAAUAAUGACAGUGCACUUUUAAUUACUUAGAAAUUUGUUAAGUCCAUUUAGAAUAUGGUGAGUCUUUUAGGAAGUUGUAAUUCAUUUAUGCUUCCUUUAUCUUUGCUUUAACUUAUGAUGUAAUACAACCAUUUGGCAGACUUAAAUGAAUUAAAAUAUUAUUUGUUUUGUGCAAUUGAAGUGAGUUGUUUCUCCUUCUAAAAUCAAGCAUUUGGCUUGGUCGUGUGAGCAAAUCCACGAUUAGCAACGUCGAGCGUGUUUCGUUGCCCCUGGUUGAGCGAUUCCUAGGUUUCUAUCCCCUGUUUUUUCGAGACACAUUGUUUUCUUUUCUGCAUCACCAAUCAUAUAUAAGUUUACCACCAACGCAUAAUUGUGACAUAAGAGAAACUAUUAGAUGCAUGAACCCCCUACGGCUAUUGCCUAUUGGUUCUUUUCCAAGGGUAUAUUUUGCAACUCACACUUUUGGUGACGCAAAGCAUUUCGAUAUAUGGAUCUCCUCGAAUAUCACUAUUGUUGAGCCAAAAAUAAUCACAAUGUGACACGUGGAUUUUUGGGUGAAAAUGACAAAAUUACCCUUGAGGCACAUCGGAUUUCCUACGCGCGAACAGUGGACAGUCAUUCCUCAAUCAAGUCAAAAGUGCUAAAAAAAGAUAACAAAUUCAAAAUUAUUUCAUCCAUCCUCAUCUUAUAUUCACUACAAGGUAAUUAUUCCAUAACCUUCAAAACAUUCCAUAUAAAUUGAGUUAAUUGGCCAAUUAAUGGAUUAAUUACCUAAUUGAUCCAUUAAUUACCAAAUAAAUUACCCAUUACACUAAAAAAUUACCCAAAAGGCCGGCCGCUCUCUCUCCCAAGAGGGCCGGCCAUGCUCUAUAUAUUGAACCCCAUUUUCUCUAAAAACCUAGGUCCACACUCUUGCAAAACUCCAAAAACUCCCUAAACACUUUUUUUCUAAAUUCUAACUUUGGCAUCGGAUGUUCUUCGGCCAAAUCCCCUCCAUUCAUCGUGGGCGCAUGAGGCUUUGGGCCUUAACCAAAUGUGUUAAUUGUUUUGUAGGCGCAAUUUUGUCCAAGAUCAAGGAGGAAGAAAUUUGCAUCCACAAAUUGGUGCUUUCAUUGAGAGAAGAGACACACUCGUAGAAGACUCCCGCAUCAAAAGGUUUUUCUAGUUUCUUGUCCAUUUGUAGAUUUUUCAUACGUUCUUAUUAUUAGAAUUUUUUGUUUGCAAAGAUUCUUUGAUAAAACGUAAAAGAGAAAUACAAUGGCUAGAAAUUUAGAAAAUUCCACAAGUGAAAAUUCCAAUAUUCAAAAAAUGGCACCAUCGCUACGGGGCUCCACCAUGGCAACCACCGCGGUGGCCACCACGGUCACCACCCGCGGCGAGGUCCAUGGCACCGCUACCACAUCCCGAGUCGUGCCAUCCAAGCUUGCACGGGCCCAAGCCCAAGCCGUGCCAUCCAAGGCCCAUGGCUCCAAAGCCAUGACCCAAGCCUCGUACUCGCAUGCACUGAGCAGCCUACUUCUAUGGCCAAGCCUGCUCUCACAACCAAGCCUGCUCCCACGACCCAACCUGCUCCCACUGAGCAGCCCACUCUCGUGGCCCAGCCUGUUCUCGCCGAGCAGCCCACUCUCGUGGCCCAGCUUGCUCCCGUGGCCCAGCCUGCUCUCGCCAAGCAGCUCACUCCCAUGGCCUAGCCUGCUCCCAUGGUUUUCCAAGCAACCAAAAUCGAUCCAAUAUUAGUUACCGUUCCGGCUCCAAAUAUCUGGAUCGACGAUCGAACCGGGAGUAUUUUCACCAUAUUUUUCUUUGGAUUUGACAUUUCCCAACUCAAAUCUUGCGCCCGAAGUCUACCACACUUCCAUUGUUCAAGGAAACACAUUCCUUCCAAGCUAUUCCAACCCAAAUAGAGAUGAACACUGGUCUCGACAAGUCAUAAAGUUGACGAACGCCCUCGCACAGCUAACGACUUUGGUGAACCAGUUCUUGCAGCGCACCGAGAUGCAACAUGCCUCAAACGAGGUGUCCCGAAGUAGGAUAAGGGCAGACAAAGAACCUUUAUAGCAGCGUCCCAAUAAGCAGCCACUUGACCAGCCACGAACUGAGUAUUCUGGCAGUGUACACUUCCGAUUGGGCCUCCGAAAUAACGUAUACUCCUGUUUUAGCGUGCGGAUGAGUGUGCACUCUAGACUAGGCCCAUGGACGAGCGUACAUUCAUGGUUGAGGUCACACUCUGAUAGUCAACAUGAGCAAUCUUCCAAGCGAAGUGUUCAUUCGUGGCUAAGCCCGUAAAAAGCAUCAUCCACUUCACAUCGGAGUAGGCAGCACAACGGACGGAGAGAAGCAGUCACUCAAUCCAGCUCAAGUUCAAUAGGCAGCUUGCAAAAAACUCGCUCGCUUGCUAGGGAUGCACCACACUCACCGCAUCUACGGCAUAGAUGAGCCAAACAUAUAGAACAGCAGCCUAGACUAGCAAGUCGAGGUUGAGGGCAGCCGAAAACUUCACUACCCCUAACAAAGGCAAAUUCAGGAAGAAGUAGGGAGAUUAUUGACCAAGCUAUUGAGUAAUUUCUAACACAACGAGAUUACUGACGAGGCACUACGACGUAACAUGACUAACAUAAGCAGGUCACCCUUCACAAAUGAAAUCGAGCAGGCAGAGCCUCAACGCGAGUUCAACAUGCCACAUUUCAUAUCUUUCAAAAGGGAUGAAGACCCGAAGAGACACUUAAAGCACUACCGAAUCGCAAUGAUCCUCUAUCGAAACAACGACAAUCUCAUGUGUAAGAUAUUCGCCACCACUGUACAAGACGAUGUGCAAGAUUCGUUCUACACCCUGCCAUCACAAUCUAUUCAGAAUUUCGACGAACUUUCUUUGGUUUUCACCAAAGAAUAUUCAUCCUAUCGCUCAAUAAAAAAGAAGUCCGACCAUUUGUUCAAUGUCAAGAAUAACCCAAAAGAGUCACUUCGCGAUUAUGUGAAGAGGUUCAAAGUAGAGAAGGUAAGGAUAGUCAGAUGCAACGACUCAAUAGCUAGAGCAGCCUUCCAAAAAGGACUUCCAGCAGACCACCCGCUAUUCGGAAAAUUGAUCAUGAAAGAAGAUCUAACGCUGGCAGACUCUUUCGCUUUGGUAGGGAAGUAUGCGCUUUAGGACGAAGCUUGCCAAUGCACAUUUAAGGACUUGAAGAAGUACCUGACAUCACCUCCCUACUAUCUAAACCAGAAGUAGCGGAGGACUUAUUCGUAUGUUUGACGAUAUCUAAAGCAACAAUAUGCUUUACCAUCAUGCAAUAAGUGUUAGGGGCCCAACUACCUGUAUUCUACAGUUCAAAAGCUCUCCUCGAUGCUAUUAGAAAUUCAAAAGCUAACUUUGAUGAUAGUUGUUGCAACUCGGAAGCUCAAGUUUUACCUUCAAACGCAUGCAGUUAUCCUCAUGAUGCCCUAUUCUGCCCAAUCCAGACACGCGACGAUAAAGGAGUAAGACGCUGAUGAAUGCAAAGUUUUCUGACGAACGUAACAACUCAGCCCCAAAGGCACACCAAAGGCAGAUGAACACUAAAAAGACACACUCAGAAGUAAGUUUUGUCUUUGUCGCCCCAAAAGAUUCUACAUAGGAGCAACGUGUAUCGGCAGUUGAUCACCAUCUCUUGCUACGUGUCACACAAUCCUAGCCUACCACACAUUCAUGACAUAACAAAGCGGCCCAACGAUGCCUUGGAGGUAGCCGAGGUGUCACAGGUUAGUACAACUCCAAACUGACAAGAUUCCAUUGUAGACUACCUGGUCAAUGGCACAUUCCCUAAGAAAAUAUUGAAGCCUAGGAAUCUCUAAAUCAAGGCAGCAUGCUACUACAUGUGGAACAACAUUCUCAUUUGAAAAUUCUACACCAGACCACAUCUCCGCUUCUUAGUGUUUCCCGAUGACUUGAAGGUUCUAAGCUCAAUCCACGAAGGUGUUUGUGGAAAUCACUCCAGAGGUCGAUCCUUAGCACAGAAGGCUCUUAAUGCGGGCUACUACUGGCCUAUCAUGCACCAAGACGCUAAGGAGUUGUACAAAAGUACGACCACUGCCAACGUUACAAGCCCGUACCAGCACUAUAUACUAGUGAGCUACAUCCGUAGACGAGUCCUUAGCCGUUUAUCUAGUGGGCAAUCAACCUAGUAUGACCUAUGCUGCCUGUUACUAGGGGCAGAUGCAUAAUGAUCGUGGCAACCGACUAUUUCACCAAAUGGAUAGAAGCAGAGUCAUGAUGACCAUAACUUAGACGGACAUAGAGCGCUUCAUAUGAAGGAACAUCAUUUAUUGAUUUGGCAUCCUAUAGUCCAUCGUCACUGACAACAGCCCGCAGUUUGUGGGUAAAAAUUUGGUAAAGUUCUUCCAUAAGUAUGGCAUCAAGCAGAACAUGUCCAUGCCGAGAUAUCCUCAAUGCAAUAGGCGGGCCAAAGCAUCCAACAAGGUGAUCAUCAACUGCCUCAAGAAAUCCCUCACCAAUAAGAAGGGAAAAUGGCCAGACGAACUCCCCGGAUGUCUAUGGGCAUAUUGCACCAUCAAAAGACGAGCAACCGGUGAAAUUCGUUUCUCUUUGGCAUUUGGCUCAGAAGCAAUCAUUCAUCCCAAUGUCAUCAAGCUAAGUAUCAUCGCUCUACUACCAAGCAUUGAGAAGAACAGUAAGGAGAUGGCCACAAGCUUAGAUCUGGCAAAGGAGAAGCGUGAGCAGACCAUCACCCGCAUCGCAGCCUACCAGCAAUAACUCUUCUCCAGCUACAACAAAAGGGCCAAGAUCCGGCAAUUCCAGCCUGAAGAUCUAGUCCUAAGAAAAGCCUUCAUCACUGUUCGCAGAGAAGGUUCAAAAAAGAUGGAUCCUAUCUGGUCCAUAUAAGAUCAGCGGAGUAGGCGGCAAGAGUAAUUACACCCUCACCACCAAGAAAUGACAAAAAGAUCAAAAAAUAGUGGAGCGCCUACAAUCUGAGGAAGUACCAUGUGUGACCUACUGCUACAUCAAAGCCCGAAGACUCAAGCAGCUCGACGGGCACCACCUCACAAGCCGAGGACUAUCCAGUUGUUAUGCAAUUCCUACCUUAUAGCUAAGUUCUCUUUCGUUUCACUCAUUUUUCAAUGAGGAAUUCAGAAGUAAUCACAACUUGGCUCGGUUGCAUGCUUACAACAACUGAUCAUUCAUGCACUUCAAAAGAAGAUCGCACCCUUCUUAGGGACUCAUCGCAGGAAUUGUACCCCCCCCAAUGGACCAACCAUGCUCUCCAAUGCGAGAGGGUAAACUAAUUGCUCUCUAGUGUGAUAAGGUAAACCAAUUCCUCGACACCCACAUGGGUCAGCUCUCCAAGACGAGAGGAUAACUCUACACUCCGAAUAUCCAGACAUGGAUGAGCCUGGCUGUCCUAGUAUAACUAGAUGCAUGAUGGCUUGCACCGAGAUUCCUAGAAGUAGCCACAAUGAUCAUUUUUAAGGUUUAGCUAACUGAAGGAUUUUGUGACACACCCCGACCGAGAUCAAGGCAUGUUGGUCGUCACGUGAGAGUGACGUAGCCAUGUGCACAAUGCGGAAGCAAUAAAGAUAAUAAUUAUACGAAUAAUUAAAAACCGAAUUACUAGAGUGCACUACUAAACAGGAAGUGAUAGAAGUUAGUUACAAUAGUAAACACUCCUAAGCAGAGCAUAUUAAGUCUAGGUGCAGUCCAGUAGGACAAGUACUAAUUAUACAGUACCAGGAAUGUCCUACUAUUAUUUAGAUAGGUCAAAACCGCCGCGUCCUCAAGCCACCAACAACAAGCUUAGUUAAAACCUGGAGGGGUGCAAAACAGAAAACGUGAGUGGGCAAAAACAAAUGUUUUACAAAAUCAUUUUCUUUAUCAACAUAUCUACCCUCUCGCUGUAAAAACAUGUAUAAUUUUUCCCAGAAUCAGAAUAUAAGCAUAUACAUAAUAUAUAUAUAUAUAUAUAUGAAAUUAUAUCAAUUCAAUUCAUGCUUCACAUAAUCAUAUUCAAAUAUAUGCCAUGCUAAUAUAUAACAGAGUAAGCAAUUCAGGUAAAAAUAAAUUCAUAGAAAUAUGAUAUGUUAGCAGGAACCCCUGUGGUAGUGUACAAAGUUGAAUUCAUAGCUCAAAGUCAAUCUAGCCGGAGUCACUACAAUGACCUAUACGGCAAUAUACUACACAUAAGUCAGAACCGCUAAAAAAGGUCUGUACGACAAGAUUGGGUGUAAUAUAAUUAUGCUCAAUUUUACUCUCUCAUAAUAGCCGGGCGAUAAAUCGCUAGUCACCUACAAGUCGGAACCAUAAAUAAGGUCUGUACGACAAGACUGUGCACUUAAGUUGAAUCCAAUAUGAGCAUAUAGUGCGGGAGGUGACAUAAAUAAACAGGCAUGUAGUUCAUAUCUCUGGCUAAAUCACAAUCACCCUAUGUGCAGUUUUAUGUGCUCAACAUCAUUCAAUCACAUAUCACAUCAUCGAUGAUUCACAUAGCCAAACAUAACUUACCUGAACUUACAUGUGCCUCCAUAGCACCACAUUUAUAUAUAUAUGCGACCAUGAAAUGCAUAUUCAGAAUAUAAAAGCAUUUGGCAGAUUAUUUCAAAGCAUACUUUCCUUAAAAAAUGCAUUUCUGGGAAUUAUAUCAAGUAUAUAAAUAUAUACUAAAAACAAAAGCCCACUCACUGAUAUGUCGACGGGUCAUAACCCUCGAGUCGCCUGUGGAUACGCUCGUCCUCAGGAUAAGUCUCACCUAUAUGCGAAUUAACUAUAAAAACGUUAUUUUAAAGCACAUAGACAAAACUAGCUAAUAACUUCUCAUACAUUACUCAAUUUUGGUAUUUGAAUAUACCAACGUGACCUGCACAACCUCACGAUCAUCAUGAAAUGCAUAUUCAGAAUAUAAAAGCAUUUGGCAGAUUAUUUCAAAGCAUACUUUCCUUAAAAAAUGCAUUUCUGGGAAUUAUAUCAAGUAUAUAAAUAUAUACUAAAAACAAAAGCCCACUCACUGAUAUGUCGACGGGUCAUAACCCUCGAGUCGCCUGUGGAUACGCUCGUCCUCAGGAUAAGUCUCACCUAUAUGCGAAUUAACUAUAAAAACGUUAUUUUAAAGCACAUAGACAAAACUAGCUAAUAACUUCUCAUACAUUACUCAAUUUUGGUAUUUGAAUAUACCAACGUGACCUGCACAACCUCACGAUCAUCGUGAUAUUUUUAAAAUAAUUUUUCUAUUGCUCACGUGCCGGGGAGGGCACGGCCUCACACGCGGCGCAUGCGCAUGCACACUAACGGAUUCCCUAAUUGCCGUUAGGGAAUAUUAUGUUAAAAUCUAACAGAUUCUAUUAAAACUGACCGACGGCGUCAGCAUAUUUCAUCCAAACUGACGGAAUAUGCCGUCAUCUUCUUUGGCAAGUCACCGGUCGUCUGAAAACUAGGUAAAACUUUAAAACAUCUAUUCUCGCUCGUUUCUUAACCGUUUUUCAAGAAAUUUGAACCAUUGGAAAACUAACAACAUGAAUAAUCACGUUAUACUAUUUUUAAGCCUUCAAAUCCACUAGAUUUUACCUGAGGAAGCUCCAUAAUCCCGUUAACUUUGAAAACCUUCAAUCUCGGCCCUCCGACGUCCAAACUCUUUCAGCGAACUACCCCGAGCUUCCUUAGGACUUCCUAAAGCUCCCUAUAAGCUUCAAAUUCCCUGAAACAAGUAGUUUUAUGUCCAUGUGAACAGUGAAUGAAACUUUGUUUCUUGGGUUCUUAAGGUAUCAAAAGUAUCCUUACCUGAAAUGGAUAUCAAUCAACUCAUAGCACCACGAGGAACACAAUGGUGCACUUAAAACUUUCGAUUUGCAAAAUUUGGGGUGUUCUUGCCCUUGUCCGUACAUAUAGCAAGGAGAGAGAGAGAAAGAAACUACGGGAGAGAAAAGAGAGAAAGGGUAGGGAUGUGUGUGUGGUCCCAAAAGGCACACCAAUCACAACUAUGAGAACACUUAGUUCUAAUUGGAUCCAGUAAAAGGGGAAUAUAGCUAAUUGGUCCAAAAUCUAAGUUUAAACCACAACAUCCCAUAAUAAUUCUCAACGUCCAAGGAUAUUUAGGUAAUUUCACACUGUCGAUAGCAUAAUUAACGUACAUCUCCGGGACGGGCUGUGACAUUUUGGGUCUAUUGGCCUAAUCCGUGGGGAACCGGGCCCUAGAAACGGAGGGGGCACAGUACACAGUAUGCCUGACAGACGAUUACCCUGGAACCCUAAAGCUACUACCGAGUGCACUAAGGUAGCCUACGGUUUCUGAAAGACUGCCUACAGCUUGCCCUUCUAGCAGUAAAACCACGCUAGACUUAUACAACCGCACAUUCUUGUGAAAGGUUAAACAAGCUAGCAUGCAUAUACAAAGCUUUAUCCACUGCCGACAUGUUAUGUAGUCAAUAAGCUUCACCUCUGCCAAGUGCAGAACAACUUAACCAAGUCCUAAAGUGUUGUGAUACUUGUUACGCAACCUAUGGAAUUGGAGAAAGCCAAGGUUAACAGCCUAGUGGUUACGCGGACUUGUCUACUUCUGUAAGUAAGGCAUCCGGCUGCCAACCCUACGGCUAACAACUUUGCAAACUUCUACACCAACACCUACGACUGCAUAGGCUACACGGGCCUGUCUGCUUGUAGAAAAGUAGCAUGUCUGCCAUUGGUCUAUAAAGUCUAAAGGUUAGGGCAAGAACAAAAGAAGUGAAGAUGAAGAAAAGCAAAGAAAACAUGUUUAUAAACAACUAGCAAAUGCCAGAGGAGUUCAAGCAAAACAAGAGCUACAAGGAAAAACAAAGAAAAUCCUAAAGGCUACCUAAAAGAAUAUACUUCAGCCACUUGGACAUCCCACGACUACUCGGUCGCCACACCUUCAGUAGCCACGACGCUCUUAGCAAUGGCAUCAUCCAGCGCUUCACCCUUGGCUGCCCCAACCUGGGCACUAACUUCUCCAACUACUUCACCAAUGGAAGCCUCAAAAGUAAAAGCAAGGAAGUCUUCCGGAGAAAUAGAGAAGGUCUCGAAACCUCAAGCCCAUCAUUCCCACCCUUCAGCUGUUCAUCCUCUUUGAGUAGGCUAACACGGACGCGCUGUAACUCAUCCACUUCCUUCUUCAGACUUUCGUUGAUCUUUAAUACACCUUGAAGUUCCAACACUUGGGCUUCAAGCCUAUUGACGAUUCUCUUGAAGUGGAUCACUUAAUUAUAAGAAGCAAUCAACUAUUCAUUCUUUGCAUAAACAGCGAAACGAAGCUCAGAAACUGCAAGCUCAAGAUUUUGAAAAUGAGAUAUGUAACAUCCAAUCUCCUUCUCUGUACUUUCAUACUUAACUUGGAUCACGUCAGGCUUAGUCUUCAAGUCAACAAUAUCUUAGGGAGCGGUCUUAAGCUGCAGAGAAGUGAGGGUAGAAAUAUUAGACCCUUUCAAAACAACGAGCUCAAAAUCCAACCUCUUGAUCUCAUCGGUCAAGGAAUAAGUUUCAGCUGCCAUAGUCUUCGCCACCUCCUUGGCAACCUUGCUAUAUCUACAUCAUAGCAAGCAGAGUAGUCGUUCUAUAUUGGGUUGCAUGCUUUGCAAAGGAACUUGGGCAAACAAAACUUUCUAAUCGCCAUCAACAAAUUUGGCACAAACGUCCAUGUCUUCAAGUAUAUAUGGUUUCAAGAACACAUAGAUCUCAGCGGCCUCCCCAGAAGCAGACUUAGUAGAUUUCUCAUAGCUGCCCAGUCUCAUCCUCCCUAGCAGGCUAAUCAGUCUCAGCAGUAGAGGGAGUGGGCCUUAGCACCACUUUAGCAGUAGAGUCCACCUUAUCGCUCUUCAUAAUAGCAAGCAUUUCCGAAGAAGAACCAGACUUUUCUCUCAAUGGACGUCUUGGCACAGACUUUGGCACUAGAGGCAUGACAAGACCUCUACACUGAGCAAUACUAUCAACAAUCAUACAGGCCAUUCUCGACAUGGCAGACACCACAUGCUUAGAUCUAGCAGCCUCAUUUUUCUUCUUAUUGGAAGAAGUCAUGUCAAUCACAGGACUUUCGGUAACAUGCGGACCCUCACAAGCAGAGGAGGAAGUCUUCAGUUUUCUCAACUGGCAUCUCUUGAGCAAACGGGAAAGAUCUCUUCUUUCCACCUUCAUUCAUAAUAGGCUCUACGACAGCGUUCAGACGAACCAAUGCAUCUGUCUCGAUCCUCUUUACCUUCUCUCUCAGAAGCAACCCAACUUUCUCCCAGCGGAGAGAACUAAGCAGUUAACGCCAUUCACGGUACUCAACAGGAGAGCUCAACCCAUACUGGCUUUUCCCUUAUUUUUUCUCUCAGACCAGCAGGCAUAAGGCAUGCAUGCCCAGCAUUCUAGCAGCCCAUGAGGCCCGCGACCUUUUCAUUUCUCUCAAUCGCCGGCCUAGCCCGCGUCAGGACCAAAAGCCCAAAGGACAAGAACCAUGCGACUCACCUAGCACUGCGCCCCAACGCCUCAAUCUGCGGCCCCAGCCGUGCAAGCUACCCUUGGCAUUAGCCAAGCCAAGCGACCCAAGCAGUGGUCCCUGUCACAACACCUUCUUGACCCAUGCUGAGUCGACUCCUGGCCCCUGCCAGCCGACGUGCCGCACCACCCUGAUGGUUGCCCCGCGACAACACUAUCCAAGAAGAAGACAAGAAAAAUUAAAUUUCUCUUACUUCGGUGCGGCACAGAGAAGACGAAGAAAGCAAGGAAAAAUGAUCAUUUGCACGGGCAAGUGUAGAAGAUUGCUAAGGGAGGGGGAACAAAUAUCCUCUAGCUUUCUCUAUCUUGUAGGGUAGAAUAAAUCACUCUCCAAAGUUGAUUUAAUAAUCCACUUAAGGUGGACUUAAAUAGGCUUUGAGAGAAAUUUAUUUCCCUUUCUAAUUUCCAAUUAAAAAAGGAAUUUACAUCAAAAUAGGAAGCAAUCCUAUGUUUCCUAAAGCAAGAAGAUCUUUACACCAGCUGCCAUUUCCUGCGAGCAGCCCAACAGGUAUAGGGGCAUUUAUGGAGCCUAAAAUAAUCACAAGGCGACAUGUGGAUUUUUGGGUACCCUUGAGGCACAUCGGAUUUCCUACACGCGAGCAGUGGAUAAUCAUCCCUCAAUCAAGUCAAAAGUGCCCAAAAAAUGUAACAAAUUCAAAAUUAUUUCAUCCAUCCUCAUCUUAUAUUCACUACAAGGUAAUUAUUCCAUAACCUUCAAAACAUUCCAUAUAAAUUGAGUUAAUUGCCAAAUAAAUCACCCAAUACACUCAAAAAUUACCCAAAAGGUCGGCCGCUCUCUCUCCCAAGAGAGUCGGCCAUGCUCUAUAUAUUGAACCCUGUUUAUACCAUAUUUAGGGCCUCGUAUUUAGAUCUCGUAUAAAUACUCGGGGGACUUAAAAUGUAAUUAUGUAAUAAAAGAAGGGGCAAAUAUGUAAUAAGUGAUGAGUCCUUAUUCUAUAAAAUGACCCAUCACCCUCACAAUUAGGGGAGGCCAUUUCUUAAGGCCCCUUCAUCCUCUCAAAGCUCUCACAUUACAGAGCUCCCUCACUCCCCUCACCUCUCAGAUAAAUACAUAAUCAGUGUGGACAUAGCCCAAACCUUGGGUGAACCACGAUACAUCUUGUGUUAUUUACUUUCUUGCAUAUUCACGGUCGGAUUUACGUUGUUCCAAGACCUCCAGUUUUGUGCAUCAACAAACCCCAUUUUCUCUAAAAACCUAGGUCCACACUCUUGCAAAACUCCAAAAACUCCCUAAAUAUUUUUCUCUCUAAAUUCUAACUUUGGCAUCGGAGGUUCUUCGGCCAAAGCCUCUCCCCAGUCAUCGUGGGCACAUGAGGCUUUUGGCCUUAACCAAAGGUGUUAAUUGUUUUGUAGGUGCAAUUUUGUCCAAGAUCAAGGAGGAAGAAAUUUGCAUCCACAACUAUCUAGGUGCAAACCAUGGGUUAAUGGAAUAAGACUAUCACUGGAUCGUAGUGCUAACGACUACUACUAGUUGUAAACUUGUAAACCAAAACAAAUAGUUAACAAAAACAACUUUUCGAUUUCGCAUAUCAACUAAAUUAACAGGAAAGUUCAUGCAUACAUUAGUGACGUUUGGGUUUCACUCUUUUGUUGUUAUAUCUAUGUCCACCUAGAAGGGGAUCAUACCCUUAUGAUUUUACAUACAAGUAAGAUUCACUAGUGUGUAGGAGAGAUUGAUGAGCUAUCACAUGUGUUAAGGCGUACUCUGUAAAGGUGAAACCAUUUCAUAUUUCACAGAGGCUCAUACUUUUCCAUACUUCAGGUGGGACGAUAUCUUCUUGUUACUGGAUUUGGUUAUGAACAUGAUGAUGCAUGGAUCACCAACAUAGAGUUAUUUAAAGAGUUUACUGACAUCAGCAGGAUAUUCACCUUUCUUUUCAGUGACAAGCUAGUUCUAUUUGAGCUUUAGGAUUAAUUAACUUCCUAAAUGUCCCUCUCUCUCUCUCUCUCUCUCUCUCUCUCUCUCUCUUCUCCUUUUCUAUGAGUUUAACUCUUUGUUUGCCUUGACAAGCUAGUUCUAUUUGAGCUUUAGGAUUAAUUAACUUCCUAAAUGUCCCUCUCUCUCUCUCUCUCUCUCUUCUCCUUUUCUAUGAGUUUAACUCUUUGUUUGCCUUGCUUUUAUCCCCAUAUUGUAAUGUUCAGGGUGUUAGAAGGCUCGGUGCUGUUGCAGUAGACAUAUGCCAGGUAGCUCUUGGGAUUGUAGAAGCAUACAGCUGGGAAUAUCGGCUAAAGCCAUGGGAUAUGGCAGCUGGUGUUUUGGUAAUGUGUUUUCUCACAUAUGCGUCUGUUAGGGGUUUACAGCAUAAUAAUUUUAAUCCACAAGCGGUCCGAUGAAUUCUUAUGUGGAAGUAUUCAUUGUUAUAGCACAUUCAACUGAACACCUUCAUGUUUUCGUUUUGUUAAAACAUAAUAGUUGCCGUAGCAUUUUGUUUUUUAUCUCUUAAUUUUAGUUUUAUUUUUUUUCUAUAGCAAUUUGGUCCGAUUUAACUAGCAUAAGUGAUAUAGUUUCUUUUAAAAAAUAUAUAUAUAUUACAUUUACUUAGUUUAACUUGCAAUACAUGGUAAGUUUUUUUUUUUAUUGUCUGAUUGUACUUAGUACUUGGAAAAAGUUGUGAAUACUCAAAGUAUUCAUUAGGAAUCAAGCACGUGCCGAAAUAAUAUGUAACAACCCGUCCCAAUUAUUUAAACAUAUUUUGGAACGGAAUGGCACUUUGGUAAUAUCUUGGUUUUGGGUGAGAUAUUUUGGAAAUUUUUGGCUUUUGGCCUUAAUAGGUGAGCCACAUGGGGCCCACCCUUGAGCCCUUGUUCCCCCGGCCUCUCUCCUUUCUGCUCUGCCCCGAGUUCUCUCUCGCACAAUUCACUCCCUCACACUCUCUCUCGGAUUUCUCUCUCUCUUUUCUUUCCUUCCCGGAUGACCAACGCACACACCCUAGGAUCCUCCCAAGCAAGAACUCGAACCUAGGACAAGUCCGUGGUGCACCACAAUGGCGAAGAUCAAUGUUCACUUCCUCUCUUGUUGAACUUCGGCGAGCUCCUUUAUCCUCGACGUAGAUAAGCCCCUUAAACCUCUUGGUUAGUGUUUGUAUGUGAGUUUGGGAACGUGUUGAGUUGUUUUGGUGGCUGUAGGACACAUAAACGAUUAAGAUAGAGUUCCCAGUUGCCGGUGAGUAACUGUGGCUUCCAGGGCGUUUUCCGGCCACCACACACCUCGAAAGUGGUAUAGAUCUUUUCCUCUUUCCUUGGGCUUCAUUUUGGUAUAUUAUUUGACAUAUUUUGGUGUAGUUUCGAGGUUAACCAGAGCUUGAGAAGCUCCAGCUUCCUUCCUCUUCGAAACCUGGCCUUUUUCCACGACGAAAAUCAAACCAGGCCCUUAAGGCUGUGUAGGACUAGGCCUUCGGGUUGUUGAGUCUGAGCCCAAACCGUAGUGAGCCCAACCCCUUAACCAAUUAUCCUAGGCCUUUGGGCCAGCCUGCCGAGGCCAACCCACUUCGAACCCAAGCCCAAACCUUUGACCCAGGCCUUACUGGCACAGGCCUUUGGCCCUUUGAACUCGAGCCUAACUCAUGGGCCUUCAACCCAACCUAGCCAAGCCCAAAACCCGUUUGACCCAGCCCGUUUAACCCACUUGACGAAAUAUUUUGGAAUAUUCUAGUAGGAAAUAUUCUCUGGAAUAUGUUGACUUUUUCGAAAUUUACGUGGGACCUUUUGUAGGAUAAUUCGACGUCCUGAAUCUGUUUUUGACGUUCGUUUUUUCAAAUUCAAUCAUUUUAAUAGAGUUUUAUUAAUUGGACCCUUUAUGUGCUUAGGUGCAUUUAUUGUGGCGAUUCUGUUUUCGCUAGUUUGCAUGGCUCUUCGACGACAGAGUAUCUGUGAGUGGACCCCUUCUAAAAUGCAUGUUUUAAUAGUAGAAAUGCAUACAUGAAAAGCAUGAUUUAAUGGUUACGCUUUAUGAGUAAAUUAGAUUUACACUUAUAAUAUAUCAUGCUUUAUUGCGAAUAUUUUGGAAUACCAUAUUUUAUCGAACUUAUGUUCUUUGUAGUAUAUAUGAUGGAUGACUAUAUGCUACUUACGAACAUGCUUUUACACACUUCUUUAUAAUAUAGAUGAUAGAUGACUUUAUAAUAUGAAGAUGUUUUUGAUAUAUGUGUACCUAUGUUUGGAAAGACUAUGUUCAAUGGUUUUGUGCCUAUCUAGUGGUCACUGUUCCACCUAAGGGUGAAGGAUAUGGUUGUUGGUUGCAGGCCGGGAGAAAUAAUCUCUGGUUUCGGGUUGAGCGACAUGGAGUUGACAUUGGGUCGGGAGAUACUGUUAUUGGAUACCAUUAUUUAGUACACUAUAUACGAGAUAUGUUUUAUGAAGGUUUUAUGGCAUGCUAGGGUUUUUGAAAACCUAUUACAUAUUAUGCUAUUGAUGUUUUUAUUAAAACUUCGGGAGUUAGUAUGUUGAUAACUAUUUCAGUAUUUUAUAUAUAUCAACUUGAUCCACUCAUUUUUGUUUUGCGCCCCCUCGGGACUUAAAGUUGAGGCGUACAAUCUCGGUGUCAAGGCACUUCCACCUCGGUAUCUUCGAGUCCUCUCGGUGUAAGACCCACUCCUUUGUCCAUUCAAUUUUAUAUCAUUUCUUUUCUAGUGUAUAGAAUUAGUUGUAUGCUCUGAACACGUUCCUCAUUUGCAUAUUAAUUAUAUGUAAAUUUAUAAGUCUUAUUUAUUUCUUGUUCUCAUGCAUUCUAAUAUGGCUUCGUCACUUUCGGAUGUUGGCCAACACAUACCUAUCCUAGUGUUCGGGAAAUAUCAAGGUCGGACGUGUCAUAAUAUGUCAAUGAAUAGUUUAUUCAUGAUGAAUAUACAAAUAGUAGACUUUCUGUCAUAUACAUAUCCUUACAUUUUUAUGGCAGGUAUUUGGAAGUGUCGUGUAGGAGCAAGACAAUCAUAAUCUCAUGUGACAAGAUGCUUAAACUGAUGCAUGAAGAUUAUAGUUCCCCUUUCCCUCAGCAGAUAUUUUGGUGACCAGAUGUGUGAAUUCAAUUAUUCAUAGAAUAUGUAAUGCAAUUUUGAGCAAAUAAUUGAAGAGGCCGGAGGAAAUAAGGUUACGUGCAUGGAUGGUGGAAAAUUUCCUGUAUUUGAUAGAUCUGUCUUGGUAUCCAAUGGUGUGCUGCAUGGCAAGGUUAGUCUUAUCUUCUGCUUUAUCCAUAAUCUGUUUACAAAACCUUAUGUGUUGAGAUCUAACCUCGUUUAUAUAAUGCAUGAUCUUAAUUUUCAUUGCCUUUCCGUUACUACCACUAAUCUUGUGAAGAUUUUUGGGUGAGGGUAGGUCGGGGUGGGUGAGUAGAGCAGAUGGUUACUGUAACUCUGUAACAGAGCUCUGAGUAGUGCUUAAUUUCCUGUGAAAUGCGUCGUAGAUUGUAAUAAAUGCACUAGUGGUUUUAAGGAAAUAAUUCUAGAAUUUAUAUAUUUUACAAUGCAGCUUUUGGAGAGGAUUGCACCUGCAACUGAGAAAUUGAAGAGCAAAGGUAUCGAUUUUUCAUUGUGGUACAAGCCCGAAGAUUACACAACAGACAUUUGAUCACAUAUCAACAAGAAAGUGGUCUCUCAUUGUUUCAUUGGCGAAGUUCACUGUAAAUUACAUUUCAAGCGCACGUGAUAAAUAAUAUAUCUCAGCAUGUUUCCUUUAUUGAUAUGAAUAUGGUUUUAGUUACAGCAUAAUGUUUUCGUAUGUUGCUAUGGGCAAGCGGCCGGAAUGGUUUUAAUUGUUCUAAUUCAGAAAUAAUCGUCGUUAAUGAUCAUGGACUGAUCUUUCUCGUCAAGAAUUGAUCCUAUGUGAAAUCAUUUUACUCACUCUACUGAAGCAGAAGAAAGAAAAAUGUGAAUUUUGGGAGUAGUUAGAAGUGUGAAUUGUAUUGCAGAAAUAUACCAAUUAUUUAUAUGAUCAAAUAUAUCAAAUCAAAUGUAUAAUCACUAUCAAACUUAUGAAAUUUAAAUUGGGAAAAAAUGAAUAAGAAAAUAUGGCUGUGAACCAAGGAGAGGCGCGAUGUCGCUGCCCUAAAGCCGUAGACGCCUCCCUACGUGCAGGUUAUGGCGGUGCCUACAACUCCAAGAUACAACCCAAAGCCUCACAGGAUGUCUGAUCCGAUAUGCACGUCAACGGCAGACGGAAUUGCCAAGUAAUGAUCAAUUGCCCAAGAAUUAUGAAGUAUGAAUGUAAAUAGAAUGACAGAGAUGUGAGAAUUGAGGGAGACAGAAAAGUUUUUUAAGCGUCUUCUGUUUUCUGUAUGAGGUUUCAUAUUUAAAGAACUCCUCAUACCCUUUUAAAAAGGAAUAUGACUUUUCAAAUAAAACACAACUCUUAAAUAUUAUAAAUAAAUAAAAUAAAAUAAAUAAUAAGUUUUGAAUCUUUAAAAUAAAAUAUUAUUAAAAUAUUUAAAAUAACCAACAAAAAGUGUAUCAUUGUUUUAUUAUUCUAUUCCGAUCAUUUCUUACAUAUGCAACUCACUCAUUUCUGCUAUUAAAAAACCCAGAACAUUAUUUCCGUGCUUAUCAGCGAAGUUGUUGAGUACUCUGCAACUUAGUUAUUAGGAUAAUGACGACACCCUUGUUAACAAGCCCUUUCUUCCUUUCCCACCGUCGUACUCAUACAUAGAAAACUCCAUGUCGCCAUGUUUCUCAGGCGAUGCCCGAAACUCGCCAACUGGGAUCUCGACCCAUUGUCCUCUUGGGGUUUGCAUCUAAUUAACUUUACGCCACUGCUUGGUGCCACGAGGGAGAGUGAGCCUGAAAUUGACUGGAACUCCCCAUCCAUAAUUUGCAGCUUUCAGCUUGACCACGAAUACAACUUCAUAAAGAGUUCCGGGUGACAGCUUCGCUGUUUCAAACUUUCCGUGCACUUCUAAUCAACAUACAUUCAACAAUCGAUAUAUUAUCCUCGUUGUGAUCAUUGUUUGUGUGGGAACAUAAAAUAUCACCAUCAACAGGAACACGCCACAUGUACACUUAUCAAAUAUAACUACUUUGUCUAUAAAGAAUACACAAACCAUUAGUCAAACUUUAACAGGCUAACAUGUUACAUUUUUUACGAAGGUCCUAGAAGCCCACAAUCAACAAGCGCCUUUGCUCCCAAUUCAUCGCAAAUGGUCAAAGUUGAUCGCUGUUAGACCUACUAAGAUUCUCCGAAGCAUAUUCCAAGAAUCUCCGAAGCAUGUUUCAAGAAUCUCAAAGGAAUACUCUUUCAUCAAUGUGCAGACUAACACUCUGGUAACAGGUUUAAUGAACCUAGACGCUAGGGUUAACUUGUCGGUUCUCUAUAAAUAGUCAAGGCCACUCACUUUAGUCCAGUUUUCAAAAAACUUUCAGCACACUCUUAUUACUUCCUACAAUCUUUCUGACUUAGGCAUCGGAAACCUUUUGACUAACACGAUAUAUACCAAUAUUAGUCUAACUAUGUUGGUCUCUUUUCUUUGUGUGUAGGUUUUUGCCAAUUCAAUUCAAGACGGAAAUUUGCUCCUCGGAGCAUUCUUGACUUACUUUGGGAUAUCGAUUGAGAAGUUUCCUUUACUGUUUACAUUCUUUUUUAAGGCCUUCUCCUUUUCUUUAUAUAAGUUGGAAAUCUACCCGCUAGAAUUUAAAUUGAAGACUCCCGAACAUCCUUCAAGAUGACGGAUUUCUACUGCCAGUAUCUCUUUUCGGAGGUGAGUUUUUGCUCCUGCAGUUAGAAGCUUUGUUGUUUUAGUAGGAUUUUAUGAUUUUAUGAACUAGUUUUCUGAAAAAAAUAAAGAACAUGAAAUGAACAAUGGCGGUUGCUCUAUGAAGGAGAGUACAUUGCUCUCUAUUUCAUUUCUUGUAUUUUCUUAGAUCCGAUUACAAAGGGAAGCCAUCACGCAUAAUUAAAGUGUGAUGCUAGCAAAGGACAAAGUAAUACCGUUCGGAUUUGACACGGUUCACUCGUAUAAGAGUGAUCACGUGCACCGCAUGGGUAAGCUUAAAAACAUCAUUCACUUAUACACGUGACUAACUCCACAUCGUUUAGAUGUUCUAAUCUAGGUCAUUCAUUCCAUUUGAAUAUAACCUUCAUACAUUCAAAGAAAGAACAGUUGCUUCAAUUUCGAGCUGCACUGUGAUGCACUCCAACCCUUUGAUCUGUUAAACUGUCCCACAUCGGUGGUUUGAAGAAAACCAAAGAGGUUUAAAUAGUAUUACCCCACUCUAACUAAUACUGAGGCCUUUUGUGGUAAAACCCCACACCUGACGGAUUGGGCAGGUGGCUAAGUUGGGGACAAUAUCGGUGUCGUUAGAGUGGGGCGGGCCCGACGAUCCAAAAAUUCCAACAUGGUAUCAGAGCCCACGGUUGCGGGCCCGUGCAAGCCAACGAGCUUGUGUGCAAGCCAAUGAGCUUGUCACCACCCGGAAGGAAACAAGUCUAAGCUCUUAAUAUAGAGACGAUCGCUGAGUUCCAUUGAAAACAAGUGGGCCCAACGUGAGCCAACCUCUGAGUUUCAAUUACCGAUGUGGAUCUCCAGGUGUGAACCACUAAAUGAGGUUACACGUGAGGGGGAGUGUUAAACUGUCCCACAUCGGUGGUUUGAAGAAAACCAAAGAGGUUUAAAUAGUAUUACCCCACUCUAACUAAUACUGAGGCCUUUUGUGGUAAAACCCCACACCUGAUGCAAGGAACUGUUGACUAUGGAAUUAAGUAUGAAAAGGGAAAUGCAGCUCUACUCAUAGGACUUUGUGACAGUGAUUGGAGUGGAGAUGAAGAUGACAUGAAGUCCACAUCAGGGUAUGCUUUCAGCUUUGGCAGUGGUGCAUUUUCUUGGGCUUCUGUAAAGCAACAGAGUGUUGCACUCUCAACUGCUGAAGCCGAGUAUAUGAGUGCCUCAGAAGCCACCACUCAAGCUACAUGGCUGAGAUUUGUGCUGCAUGAUUUUGGUGAAGAAUUGAUCGAACCAACUCCUUUAAUGUGUGAUAACACAUCAGUAAUUGCAAUGUCAAAGAAUCCGGUAUUCCAUCAGAGGUCUAAACAUAUCAAGAGGAAGUUUCAUUUCAUCAGAGAUGCAAUUCAGGAAGGAACAAUUGACCUGCAAUACUGCAAAAGUGAGGAGCAACUAACUGACAUUUUCACCAAAGCGCUUCCUAAAGACAGAUUCUGUGCUUUGAGGGAUAAGCUUGGGGUAAUCUCAGUUAAGACCUUAGAAGGGAGUGUUAGUUGAUUAAGGUCUAAACUGUAUUUUCCUUACUUUAGCAAGUGUAAAUAAAUCAAUUAGUGAUCAAGGGCUGAGAUUAGAUAAUAUUGUGCUAGGCUCAGAUGUAAGCAUGUGUCAAGUGUUAGAGUAUGAGUGUGAUUCUCACAGUUUAGUAAUAAUCAUUGUUAUUUCAGAUUGGUAUAAAGAUGUCUUAAUGUGUUUAUAAGAGUUAAUUCAACUUUGGUUUGGAUUGAAACUCUACUGUUGGCUCGAGAAUAGAACUCAUACUUAUACAAGGAUUUGGUCUUGUAUUCCUUGUAGGAUUGUAAUAGGGCAAUCUAUGUUUAGUAUAAAAACAUAAGCCACUGCUCUCACAAAAGAUACGCUCAAUAUUGAACUAAGACCUAUUGUUAGUUUGAGUACUUUUGAUUUUGCAAGAGAUGAGAAGCUUGUGUAGAUUCGUCCAUGGCUUCUUCAUCCAUGAACAUGUCUAUGUUAAACUUAGAAACACGGCAGCUUUUCAAAUCAAUUUCAUAUCUCAGGCCUUACGGGAAGGCUUUGUUACAUACACUACAACAUACAAACUUUACAAUUUACCGAGAAUGCCGUUAUUGAAGGAACUGUUUUUCAAAGAUUUCCUCCGGACUUGCUUAAGAAGUUGAGUACAGAUUAUCUUGUAAUGCAAAACCAUAAAUAUGGAAUCUCACCAAAGAGGCUUAUGGAGAACGAGAAUCUGUCGAGUUUCUUUAAGAUCUUGACAACUUGUACUGAUGAAGAUGAUAAGGUCUAUGUGUCCACAGUACACGCAUACAACUAUCCUGUGACUGCCUUCCAAUGACAUCCAGAGUUGCACCAUCUGUUGUCUUCUGACAGCACACAUGGGAAAAACUUCGUCAAACAGUCUGCAGGUACGUGUUGCAGAUAUUACUUCAGUAUUUGCAUAUGUAGAACAUAUUUGAUGCGUUGGUUGUGAUUUAGUUGCUAAAUUCUUGUGUUCUUGGCUAAGUAUAUUAUAAAGGCUAUGCUUAUUCUUACAUGUGGUAUCAGAGCCAUUGAAUUUAACAACUAAAUUCGAUCAAAAAUCGUUUCCUAAAAUCUGCAACAUAUAAAGUCUAUCUAUUUGGUUUUCUGAAGAACAAGGAGUGUGACGUCGUUUUGUGCGAAUAAUUUUUUAUUAAAUGACUCUUGGCUGCCCAAAAGAAAACUGGGUUCUUUAAACUAUUUUUAAAAGUUUUAUAACCAUUAUCGAUUCAAAAGAAGAAAACAACCAGCGAUCUUUUGAUCAUGUCUGCAGACAUCUUCAUCUUGUUUGUCUCUAGAAGAUCCAUGUAAGUGAUCUGUUAACAUCAAAUCUCACCAAAAUAUAAUUAUAUAUUUCUGGUAACUAUUGCUUCCGUUGCGUUGUUAAUGAUGUCUACAACUUAUGGUAUUUUCUGUUUUUCUGAUCUCUCUUGUAUUAAUAAUGGUCAUAAAUAUAGAAAGAUGUUCUGGGUUUUCAAACCAUGAUGUCGUACAAUGCUUAUGAAAUAUUUACAGACUUUAUUUGCAUUUUAUUGACCCGCAUGCUGUUUCUUUUGGUUUUUGAUGUUUCAAUUGAAAUCGCGACUGUAACAAUGGCAAUGCACUUCGAUAAUCUGCAAUGGUACGAGGUCCAUAGGAAUUUGGAGUGAUGGCAAUCCAUAUGGAUGGGUCUCAAGCAUUGAUGGAUAAUUUAUUUCGUUGAUUUGGAGCCAAGGAAUUGCAAUCGGGUUGACGAAUACGGGUCCAAUGAUGCAUUCAGGUAACUCACUUCACUGUUUCAUGCAUGAUUAAUUGUUCUCCUAUAUGCGUGAUUAUAGUUCGAUGAGUUGGAGCAUAAUGAAUUAGGGCUUUUGCUAUUUCGAGUAUGCUUGUUUAUUUAUAUAUAUUGUGAAGGCAUGAUUAAACUCGAAAUCCCUAUAAAUGCCAACUUGUGAUUUAUGUGAGAUGUCUGGAAUCAUCCUUUGCUGCAUAAAUAAAUUAGUGUAUGUCUAGAUAUACUCUUCUAUUUUUCAUUAAAGAGUCAAUGUGUAUGCAUUUUUUCAUGUAUGAAUCUCGAUACAUUUAAAUUGCGGGGAGCUACACAUGCACAUCUUAGUGUCAAUUCCUGAUUUUCAAUUGGUUUGAUUUAUAUCAAGUUUGGGUUGGAAUGGAUUUGACUGCAUAUCAUAUGCAAGUCAGGAGGUAUUAUAAAGCGACAAAAAUAAAUGCAUAUAUAAAGUGGAUGCAAAUUGCUUUGUGAUUUAUACAUAAUAGCAUAUUUGAAAUGAAAUCUGUAUAUAUAUGGAGAUAGCAUUCGUGCAUAGACGUUGUAAUUAUGGGCAUGCGUUUUUAUAUAUAUCAAAUGGAACUUGCAUAAGUUUCUCUGCAUAUUGAUGCAUGCAUGCAUACAAAAAAAAAAAAAAUAUAUAUAUAUAUAUAUAUAUAUAUAUAUAUUAUAUAUAUAUAUAGGAAUUGCUUAAGGGGAGGGAUCCCCAUUUUUUUUCAAAAAAAAUGGGGACACGCUCCCCACCGUUGGAUUUGAAUUAAAUGAAAUCCUGUGGUUGAGAUUCUAUGGCCUGUGUUUUAAUCUCAACCACACAAUUUCAUUAAAGUCAAUCUAACGGUGGGGAGCGUGUCCCCAUUUUUUUUGAAAAAAUGGGGAUCCCUCCCCUUAAGCUCCCUGUAUAUAUAUAUAUAUAUAUAUAUAUAUAUAUAUAUAUAUAUAUAUAUAUAUAUAUAUAUAUAUAUAUAUGAAAAGAUGAAUAUAUAAGGUAGAUGUUUUAUUGACUGCCUAUAAUGAGUCUUGUGACAAUAAACUUUUAGCCAUUUACAAUAUAUAUAUUCUAUUAUGAAUCGGAAAGCAAAUAAUUAUUUUGUCAUCUUAUUGGAAAUUCAUAAGAUUAAUGAUAUGUGGCUAUCGUUAUUUUCUCCAAGGACUUGCUUACGAAUCUGUAUAUAAUUGAUGAUGGUGUUGACAAUGAAUUAAAGGCAUGAAUAUUUUUUUUUUUUUUGGAUUAUUGUCGACUAAUCUUAUCAUGUAUAUAUCGAUGCAUGCUUAUUGUAUAUGUAUAUUUUGUGAUUUCAUGAUGCAUGCUUCCGCUAUUAUAUUUUGGUUGAAAUCACAAAUAGGGAGGAAGAUGAACUUCGAGUUCUCCAGAAGAAAUAGUGGUCUUGAUUAUCUCGUUUUAAUCAAGACAUGUUGUUGUGAUAUAUAUCCAGACAUUAUCAAAAUUUGGUUGAUCUUGCUCGAUGGAUAUUGAACUAGUUAGGAUCAAAUUGAAUGCAAAAAUAUUGUGCUUGCUAUUCUGAUUUUGAUCAUUGUUGAAACUAGUGAUUUUGGGUUUAUGUGAGAUAAGUUUUUCCGAAUGGAUUGUGACUAUCUUUUGAUACAUAGACUGUUUGCAUAAUGGUUUAGGUGUAUUUGACUAAACUGAGAUUAUGCAAUUGGUAAGGAAUCGGGAAUCAAUUGGUUCAUAUCUCUGGUUUCUUUAUUGGCUGUGCAGUACAUUCUGCUUAUGCUUAAGUGGGAGAAGAAUGUAAGCAUAAGGUUAAUUAGGCCGGCCAUUAUAAUCCAUUUGGAUGCUUGAAAACCAGAUUAUGGUAUUGAAGCAAUUGGUAAUUAUUUAUGUUACUUAAUUUGUUUAAGUAAUGAGAAGUUUAGUGCUAUUUGCUGGAACUAAACUUAACUUGAUAUAGUGGGAGCAAAUCAAUUUGUGUGUUUGUUCUAGUCAAGUAAAAUCACAUUGUUGUAAAUACAAAUUGGAUGAAUGUGAUCAUGGAAUUUGUUUGCAUAUUUGUUGCGGCAAUUGAUCACAUUGAUAAGACAUUCAGUGUAUUGCAAUGACCAUUAGUUAAUACAGUUGAUAUUAACUUAUACUUAACUUGUUUGUGUUAAGUAUAGCCCAGUUAAGUGGGAGCAAAUUGGUUUGGUUUUUGCUAUAUUGGUUCACAUAAUUACAAAGUGCAAAUUAAGUAUGUUGUGACUUUUGAGUUAAUUCUGCGAUGUAACAGAAAAGAUUCUUAAGUUCAAUACUUUAAAAUGCAUAGGUAAGUUGUAUGUGAGGUUAAGCUUUUGUUAUCCAAAAGAUUUUGUGGCUAUAUGAGUGGGAGUAGACGUCUUGGUUUACUUUUGUGAACAUGAACUAGACAUUGUGAUUUGUAAGUUAAAUCUGUAUUUUGUGUUGCAGAGGCAAUUAUAAAUUCAUUGUUUUGGUUUAUGUAAGCUGGUUGUGUCUAUGUACUAGUGUGUUGAUGAAUGACUUAUGUCAUCACCUUUAUAUUGAAUUUGAGAUGAUUAUUUACUGUUGUGAAUCAUACUCAAGUGGGAGAAUGUUAGAGUAUGAGUGUGAUUCUCACAGUUUAGUAAUAAUCAUUGUUAUUUCAGAUUGGUAUAAAGAUGUCUUAAUGUGUUUAUAAGAGUUAAUUCAACUUUGGUUUGGAUUGAAACUCUACUGUUGGCUCGAGAAUAGAACUCAUACUUAUACAAGGAUUUGGUCUUGUAUUCCUUGUAGGAUUGUAAUAGGGCAAUCUAUGUUUAGUAUAAAAACAUAAGCCACUGCUCUCACAAAAGAUACGCUCAAUAUUGAACUAAGACCUAUUGUUAGUUUGAGUACUUUUGAUUUUGCAAGAGAGGAGAAGCUUGUGUGUAGAUUCGUCCAUGUCUUCUUCAUCCAUGAACAUGUCUAUGUUAAACUUAGAAACACGGCAGCUUUUCAAAUCAAUUUCAUAUCUCAGGCCUUACGGGAAGGCUUUGUUACAUACACUACAACAUACAAACUUUACAAUUUACCGAGAACGCCGUUAUUGAAGGAACUGUUUUUCAAAGAUUUCCUCCGGACUUGCUUAAGAAGUUGAGUAUAGAUUAUCUUGUAAUGCAAAACCAUAAAUAUGGAAUCUCACCAAAGAGGCUUAUGGAGAACGAGAAUCUGUCGAGUUUCUUUAAGAUCUUGACAACUUGUACUGAUGAAGAUGAUAAGGUCUAUGUGUCCAUAGUACACGCAUACAACUAUCCUGUGACUGCCUUCCAAUGACAUCCAGAGCUACACCAUCUGUUGUCUUCUGACAGCACACAUGGGAAAAACUUCGUCAAACAGUCUGCAGGUACGUGUUGCAGAUAUUACUUCAGUAUUUGCAUAUGUAGAACAUAUUUGAUGCGUUGGUUGUGAUUUAGUUGCUAAAUUCUUGUGUUCUUGGCUAAGUAUAUUAUAAAGGCUAUGCUUAUUCUUACAUCAAGAUCUCAUAGGGUCUUGUAAUGAAUGGUAUGAUGAGCUCAUAGGCUCACGUAGCUUCUCUCUCCCUAGUAGUCAUGUAAAUGUUGAGGAAAGAAUGAAUAUAUGCAGUAGAGCAUUUUUUGGCUCUCACUGAGAUAUUUUGAGAACUCUCUCUGCCUCUUCACUUUCUCUCUAAACUUCUUCUUCCUAUACACAUUUUCUAAAAUACAUCACUGCAUAACAGGAAAGUCCAACAUGAUCUUCAUCAGCAACAUCCUUAUGCUGCAACAAGUUUGUCACUAAAUUCUUGUUUAGUUAGUGACUCACGGUGGAACGAAAGGGUUGGGUAACUCGGGUUAAUCACGCUAGCUAACUCAUGAACCCGAGUUCCCAAUGUUCAAAAUUGAGUUUGUUUACUUCUACAAACUAAAUAAUAAUAAUUUAUCGUAUAUAAACAGUCACUUUUGUUCAGCACCAAGAAGAUGAGUAAAUGUCCUUUGUUUGUCCUGAUUAACGAAUAAUGUUACGCAGAAACUGGGAAUUAAUUGCAGCAUCAUCACAUCUAGCUAUAUGCGAGUGUAGUUCCCGUAACCUAUAUAUGAGUGCGCUAUAUGUUUAAAUUCCGUGAGCAGCGAUUGGUUGUCUUGAUGAAAUUUCGGCCUUCUGAGUUCUGAGUGUUUUAGUUCCCCUUCCACCAAUUCUUGCUGAGUUGCUGGUGUGGUGCAUCCAUUGAAAAUUUGGAGCUAAAACCGCGCAUAUACAUACUUGGUGUACGUAUACACAUACAUGUAUUUCAUUAACUGGCUCUGAAUAUAUAAGAAAUAAUUUAUUCAUGUGACUGAGAUACAAAUACAUGCUACAGUAGCAAAUACUUCAUACUAGCUAGUAUAUGAUCUCAAAUAACCGUAUAUGAGGUAAGUUAUCAUUAUUAAAUAGUCACAUAUAUAAAACCCAACGAAGAAAAUAUUUCACUACAUACGUGUAUUGUAUAUAUAGAAUAUACCAUGGGAACUGCGGACUAAUUUAAGCUAAGGUCGAAGUUACUUCUGUCACAUUUGCUUGAUGAAUUUUCAAGCCCCCCUUCCAUUUUCCACUCCAGAUUUCAUACAGACCAAAGUGAAGCAUGUUAUCGACACUAGCGGGCAGAACUUCAAUUCUCAAUGGCGGGCUGGUUUUGUCAGGAAUUGUGAAUCUGCCUACAUUUGGAUCCUGC